CUAUGUUAUUAUAUAGAAUUUUUUUUUUUAUGAUAUUCUAUCACUAUGAUCAGUUUUGGGCUUAUGUGGUCAAACCUGAGAAUCAUUAUUGUUGGACAUAAGAGCUAAGGCCUCAAAAGAGCUGAGACUUAAAGAGCAAGCGCUAAUAUUUGAGGGUCUCUUCUGCAAAGUUAGACAGGUGUUCUAAUCCUUACCCACAGCAUUGCAUCUUCUACUGGUUCAGGACCUUUUUGGGCACUGAAAGUCUCUAAUUGAUCAUGUAAAUGAGCAGGGACAUUUCUUGAUUAGACUGUAAGAUAAUUAUGGGUUUUUAAAAUCUGUUAUGCACUGUGACAAAAAGAGACAAAAAAGUUGUAUUUUUAAUUUCCUUUUAGAUUUUUUUUUCACAUAAAAAGUGAUACUUUCAUCACUUCAGCAUGAUCAGGUAGAUUAGACUGAUAUUUGUGGGCCUUCAAUUUACAGUUAAAGUGAAAAAGCCUUUUAGGUGGUAGAUAACUCCAUUAGUUAUGAGUUUUGAUGUCAAUCCAUUUCUUCAGAAUUUGUACCAAGCACCAAAGUUAGCAAACCUUUAGAAAGGUUUUCUGAGGUAGAACUGGAAAUGGAUCCUUCUCAGAAGCUCUUUGAACCACAAUCGUCUGAGUGUGCCUAACAGUGAAAAAA